CUUUACCCUACUUUUAUGUGGUGUUUCUUACAAUCCUUCUCCUCGACAGGGCGAAAAGGGAUGAUGAUCGGUGCUGAUCCAAGUAUGGAAAAUACUGGAAAUCGUACUGCGAGAAAGUUCGGUACAGGGUCAUCCCCGGAAUUUACUGAGAAAAUGUUGCACAAGUGUUUGUUCUAUGUUGAGAAUGGCAUGUAUAUUCAGCCUUUCCAAAUUAAAUGAUGGCAGGCUGGUAUCAUGUUGUUGUUAUUGUUGUUUUUGUAAUGGUCAACUUUAUGGAUGUUGUAUUUCUCUUAUCUUCAAUGACCAAAAACUUUUCUUGUUUAGGAAAAUUACUAUAAAGUUUUGUUUCUAUUUUUCAUUUUUGAAGUAAAAAUUGUUCAAGAUUAUAAAA